rnacentral:lncRNA from 1 species
GAGGCGGCCGGGCGGCGCGGAGUCCUCCUGGAUCGUGGCAAUGGGCAGACACAGAGCAGAAAGUGGCGGACUUGGGCGGCCACAGAGCCUUUAUGACCGAAGAUGGAACUGAAAUGCCAUCCUGUUAUCAAGAAGGAGCAUAAGAACAGCUAGAGGAGAGAUGCAAGAUUGAAAUAUCAUGGAAUGGACUAUGGUUUAUCCUCUCUUCUGGUCGUAAAACACCAUCAGGUUGUAAUUGUUCAGAUCAGAAAUUCCCAAGCUUUUAAUAAAGCCUUCAGGGAGCCUCAUCCAGGGGCAACUGCCCUGUCAUUGGGAAUAAGUAGAGUGUGUGGGAAAUAUGUUGUCCUUGGUAAAACCUCCCCUUAGGAAAGAAGGCAAGAGAAUUGAGUAAGAGAAUGAUGGGCCAAAAGGAGAAAAUAGAGAAAGAGGCUGCAUGCUACAGAGAACAAGAGCAAAAUUCAAAAGCCUGGCACAGUUGGGCUUGAAACCAUCUGUGUAAAGGGGACUAAUAAUGCUGACCUCACUGCAUCACAAAUGACAGAGUUUAAAAUGAUGGUGUUUUUAAGGGACCUAGCACGUAUUAAGAAUUUAAUACACAUUGGUUUUCCUCCCUUCUCCUAGGGAUUAGGGAAAGCACAUCACUUUGCUUAAAUGCGUAUAAAAAGGCUUCAGACUGCUUCUUAACAAUGAGAAUCUUUGACAGUGAAUAUGCAAGCCAAAAAUAAAGAGUGGUUGAGAAACUUUG